GACGAACGCUGGCGGCGUGCUUAACACAUGCAAGUCGAACGGAAAGGCCCUGCUUUUGUGGGGUGCUCGAGUGGCGAACGGGUGAGUUACACGUGAGUAACCUGCCUUUGACUUUGGGAUAACUUCAGGAAACUGGGGCUAAUACCGGGUAGGAGCUCCUGCUGGAUGGUGGGGGUUGGAAAGUUUCGGCGGUUGGGGAUGGACUCGCGGCUUAUCAGCUUGUUGGUGGGGUAGUGGCUUACCGAGGCUUUGACGGGUAGCCGGCCUGAGAGGGUGACCGGCGACAUUGGUACUAAGGUACGGCCCAGACUCCUACGGUAGACAGCAGUGGGAAAUAUUGCACAAUGGGCGGAAGCCUGAUGCAGCGACGCCGCGUGCGGGAUGACGGCCUUCGGGUUGUAAACCGCUUUCGCCUAUGACGAAGCGUGAGUGACGGUAAUGGGUAAAGAAGCACCGGCUAACUACGUG
rnacentral:rRNA from 1 species